AACGAACGCUGGCGGCAGCCUAACACAUGCAAGUCGAGCGCGCCCUUCGGGGUGAGCGGCGGACGGGUGAGUAACGCGUGGGAACGUGCCCUUUGCUUCGGAAUAGUCCCGGGAAACUGGGGGUAAUACCGGAUACGCCCUUUUGGGGAAAGAUUUAUCGGCGAAGGAUCGGCCCGCGUUGGAUUAGGUAGUUGGUGGGGUAAUGGCCUACCAAGCCGACGAUCCAUAGCUGGUUUGAGAGGAUGAUCAGCCACACUGGGACUGAGACACGGCCCAGACUCCUACGGGAGGCAGCAGUGGGGAAUCUUAGACAAUGGGGGCAACCCUGAUCUAGCCAUGCCGCGUGAGUGAUGAAGGCCUUAGGGUUGUAAAGCUCUUUCAGCUGGGAAGAUAAUGACGGUACCAGCAGAAGAAGCCCCGGCUAACUCCGUGCCAGCAGCCGCGGUAAUACGGAGGGGGCUAGCGUUGUUCGGAAUUACUGGGCGUAAAGCGCACGUAGGCGGACCAGCAAGUUAGGGGUGAAAUCCCGGGGCUCAACCCCGGAACUGCCCUUAAAACUGUUGAUCUGGAGUUCGAGAGAGGUGAGUGGAAUUCCGAGUGUAGAGGUGAAAUUCGUAGAUACUCGGAGGAACACCAGUGGCGAAGGCGGCUCACUGGCUCGAUACUGACGCUGAGGUGCGAAAGCGUGGGGGAGCAAACAGG
rnacentral:rRNA from 1 species